CAGGGUUGGGGCCCAGCUUGCUUCAUUGGAGUCAGGCAAGUUCAUGGUUAUUAUCACGAUCCUUUGGGAUCCUUUUGAAACUUUCUAAAAAUGACACUUUCAAUAACUUCCUGGAUCCUCACAUUCUCCUGCCACCCAUGCAAAGUAGCCAAGAAUGGUCUCUCCCUUUCACGUAUGAGCUGGUGGAUAUCAUUGCGGAUAUGACACAGCCAGGGUGAAACUGAACAGAAUUCUUUAAUAUGUGAUCUGUAUUGAUUGAGCUCUUACUACAAAGCUGAGUGAGUACCACCCCCGCCCUCAGGAAGCUCACAUUCUAGUUGUGUAGGGAGGUACAUCUAGAGAGAAUCAUUUGGGUGGGUGGUUGCUAAUGGUCCUGGCAACUCAGAGGAUGGGGGAGCUCCACUCUGCCUGGGGAGUUGGGAAAGGCUGCCCAAAUAUAACCAUCCACUUGGACCUUGAAAAAUAGGAAGUAUCCUGACAAAGGCAGAAGUCUAGGAAGAAUAGGUCUGGGCAGAGAUAAAAAUCACACAUAUGGUGUGAAUGUUCCCAGCAGAGGAUGGCAGAAAGCUGCAGCUGAUGUAUUUUAGAUACAGGACACCCAGAGCAAGGUUCUGUAUAAUAACCAAAUUUCGGAGGCCAAAUUUUGAAGGACAUGAAGUGGCAAUCUCUGGAGUUUUGCUUUUCUUCUGAAACCCUCCAAUUACACAGAAGGUGAGAGAAGACGUGAUUGACAGCAGAUAGCCUAGAGAUUCGUCCGUCUCGGAGAUGUCCAACUAGGCCCUGAUUACACGGGAUGUGGGGCAAGUCCCCUGAGGUCUCUGGAACGGAUUUUUUUUAAAAAAAGUGGAACAUACACAAGAGUGUCAAGUUUGCCCAUGUCUGACAGGAGCCCGCUUUCUUGCCUGACUCUUUAUUUCCUCUUUGUAGCCUCUAGGUUUUUGUGGCUUCUCAAAAUUCUUCUGAAGACAGGAUGCGAAACACAUGCUCCAAGGAACCUUCCUCCCACAGAGACCCUUGAUCUGUCUUGGACACAGAGAUGAAGUGUCUGGGGAAUGUAAGCAGGGCACAGAGACGGCAUCUGGACAGUCCCUCCUCCUGGAAGGAGAAAGGCACCUCCAGUUAAUGAGGACAUGGCAGCAGGAUACUGGACACAGGUCCUGGCUCUUCUGAAAUAGUCUGGACAAUCAGCAUAGUCCAUAAAUGUACACAGUCUCUGGGCAUGCGAGAUAAAACCUUAAAACAUUAUCCUGCUACUUCAUGCAAGCCAGUCUUGGAGACAACUUUCUGUUACAGCAAGUGCAUCAGAAUUUAUAGAAGCACAAGAACGAGGGAAUAAUCUAAAUGUGCAACAAGAGACUAGCCAAAAAAUGGUGAGCAGAUAGCAUUGUCAUAAAAAUCGUGUUUUCAAAUAAUACUUAAUGGCACGGAAAAUGGCUCAAAAUAUAUCAAGUGAAAAGAAUAGAAUACUAAGCACGUUCAUUGAAUUUUGUCCCUAAGUUUUCAUAUAAUAUGCUAAUAAGAAAAAAGACUAGAAUAAAAUACAUCACUGUGGUUAUUUGGGAGGAUCA
rnacentral:lncRNA from 1 species